GCUUACGGCCAUACCACCCUGAGAACGCCCGAUCUCGUCUGAUCUCGGAAGCUAAGCAGGGUCGGGCCUGGUCAGUACUUGGAUGGGAGACCGCCUGGGAAUACCAGGUGCUGUAAGCU
ensembl:rRNA 5S_rRNA 5S ribosomal RNA